ACACUCACUCUCAUGUCGUUUUAUUUUCCAUAAAUAGUUCACCUUCUUCUUUCUAGUUCUAAAGUAAGAGUUGUGCUAGGGCAGCUAAGAAACCCUCUUCAGUGCUACCGGAAACUUGUUUUUCUUCAUCUCCUUAAGUAGUUGUCGUGUCGUGGUGCUCUACUGUUGGAGCUCGUUUUGCUGAGUUAAUCUCUGUCCAGAUGUGUCAACAAUGAUGAUAGUACUACCACCGAAGUUGAUCACCAUGGUGAUAUUGUGGCCUUCACUUUUCAAGACUCGGUGCUAGACAAGAUUUCUCAUUUUGUGUUAUGGUUGAUGGAUGUUGAGAGGAAGCCUAUUUGAUGGUGGCAAAAUA